AACGAACGCUGGCGGCACGCCUAACACAUGCAAGUCGAACGGGACUUAUGCCUUCGGGUGUAAGUCUAGUGGCGGACGGGUGAGUAACGCGUGGGAACCUGCCCUGCAGUAAGGAAUAACUUCGGGAAACCGAAGCUAAUACCGUAUACGCCCUUCGGGGGAAAGAUUUAUCGCUGGAGGAUGGGCCCGCGUAAGAUUAGCUAGUUGGUGAGGUAAUGGCUCACCAAGGCUAUGAUCUUUAGCUGGUCUGAGAGGAUGGCCAGCCACACUGGGACUGGGACACUGGCCAGACUCCUACGGGAGGCUGCAGUCGAGGAUCUUCGGAAAUGGGCGCAAGCCUGACCGAGCGACGCCGCGUGAGCGAUGAAGGCCAUUAGGUUGUAAAGCUCUGUCGAGGGGGAGCAAGCCGCAAGGUUGAGCGAUCCCUGGAGGAAGCACGGGCUAAGUUCGUGCCAGCAGCCGCCGUAAUAC
rnacentral:rRNA from 1 species